rnacentral:misc_RNA from 1 species
AGCAGCCGCGGUAAUUCCAGCUCCAAUAGCGUAUAUUAAAGUUGUUGCAGUUAAAAAGCUCGUAGUUGAAUUUCGGGAUCAGUUGGUCGGUCGUGCCUCGGUACGUACUGGUCAAAUUGAUUCCUACCUUCUGACGAACCACGAUGUCAUUAAUUUGGUGUCGCGGGAAAUCAGGACUGUUACUUUGAAAAAAUUAGAGUGUUUAAAGCAGGCUCGCGCUUGAAUACAUUAGCAUGGAAUAAUGAAAUAGGACGUUUGAUUCUAUUUUGUUGGUUUCUAGGAUCGACGUAAUGAUUAAUAGGAAUAGUUGGGGGCAUUAGUAUUCAAUUGUCAGAGGUGAAAUUCUUGGAUUUAUUGAAGACUAACUACUGCGAAAGCAUUUGCCAAGGAUGUUUUCAUUAAUCAAGAACGAAAGUUAGGGGAUCGAAGACGAUCAGAUACCGUCGUAGUCUUAACCAUAAACUAUGCCGACUAGGGAUCGGAUGAUGUUAAUUUUUUAAUGACUCAUUCGGCGCCUUAC